AGUGGCGGACGGGUGAGUAACGCGUGAGUAACCUGCCUUUCAGAGGGGGAUAACGUUCUGAAAAGAACGCUAAUACCGCAUAACAUCAAUUUAUCGCAUGAUAGGUUGAUCAAAGGAGCAAUCCGCUGGAAGAUGGACUCGCGUCCGAUUAGCUAGUUGGCGGGGUAACGGCCCACCAAAGCGACGAUCGGUGGCCGGACUGAGAGGUUGAACGGCCACAUUGGGACUGAGACACGGCCCAGACUCCUACGGGAGGCAGCAGUGGGGGAUAUUGCACAAUGGGGGAAACCCUGAUGCAGCAACGCCGCGUGAGGGAAGAAGGUUUUCGGAUUGUAAACCUCUGUUCUUAGUGACGAUAAUGACGGUAGCUAAGGAGAAAGCUCCGGCUAACUACGUGCCAGCAGCCGCGGUAAUACGUAGGGAGCGAGCGUUGUCCGGAUUUACUGAGCGUAAAGCGCGCGUAGGCGGCCCGGCAGGCCGGGGGUCGAAGCGGGGGGCUCAACCCCCCGAAGCCCCCGGAACCUCCGCGGCUUGGGUCCGGUAGGGGAGGGUGGAACACCCGGUGUAGCGGUGGAAUGCGCAGAUAUCGGGUGGAACACCGGUGGCGAAGGCGGCCCUCUGGGCCGAGACCGACGCUGAGGCGCGAAAGCUGGGGGAGCGAACAGGAUUAGAUACCCUGGUAGUCCCAGCCGUAAACGAUGGACGCUAGGUGUGGGGGGACGAUCCCCCCGUGCCGCAGCCAACGCAUUAAGCGUCCCGCCUGGGGAGUACGGCCGCAAGGCUAAAACUCAAAGGAAUUGACGGGGGCCCGCACAAGCAGCGGAGCAUGUGGCUUAAUUCGAAGCAACGCGAAGAACCUUACCAGGGCUUGACAUAUGGGUGAAGCGGGGGAGACCCCGUGGCCGAGAGGAGCCCAUACAGGUGGUGCAUGGCUGUCGUCAGCUCGUGUCGUGAGAUGUUGGGUUAAGUCCCGCAACGAGCGCAACCCCCGCCGCGUGUUGCCAUCGGGUGAUGCCGGGAACCCACGCGGGACCGCCGCCGUCAAGGCGGAGGAGGGCGGGGACGACGUCAAGUCAUCAUGCCCCUUAUGCCCUGGGCUGCACACGUGCUACAAUGGCCGGUACAGAGGGAUGCCACCCCGCGAGGGGGAGCGGAUCCCGGAAAGCCGGCCCCAGUUCGGAUUGGGGGCUGCAACCCGCCCCCAUGAAGUCGGAGUUGCUAGUAAUCGCGGAUCAGCAUGCCGCGGUGAAUGCGUUCCCGGGCCUUGCACUCACCGCCCGUCA
rnacentral:rRNA from 1 species